GGCGGCGUAGCCAAGUGGUAAGGCAAGGGCCUGCAAAGCCUUGAUUCACCGGUUCGAAUCCGGUCGCCGCCUCUA
rnacentral:tRNA from 2 species